AAAUACCAAACAGGACCUACAGUACUCAGGAGGAAAAGGCACUCCCAGGACACAGUGUCUCAUCAGUCAUUGCUGCAUCUUCAAUAAAGGUAAGUGUCAUUUAUUCUUCAUUUAGUAGAGUAGUACAUGCACAAUAUAUGUUGUGCAUGUACUACUCUACUAUUGUGCAUGUAUCCUUCUCUUUGUGUGUAGGAAAAUGUAUAUUUCAUGUGGUAAAAUUUUUUUUUUCAAACUUUUGGGUGUCUUGCACGGAUUAAUUUGAUUUCCAUUAUUUCUUAUGGGGAAAAUUCAUUCACAUAGCGAACAUUUCGCAUAACAGCCAGCCCUCUUGCACGGAUUAAGGUCGCUAUGCGGGGGUCCACUGUAUGCUUUAGAUUAUUCUAGUGCUUUUUCUGUGAUUUUUUUUAAACAUUAUUUUGAUGUAUGGAACAGUUUGAGAAUCCCUCCAAUUAGUUGGUUAUAUUGAGGGCAUUUUUUUUUAUUAUCAGACUUGUCCCUUAGGUUUAUGCUAUUUAAAUUUAUUGCAAUUUCAGGGUAAACUCUUAUUUUAGGUUCAGUGACACAGUGGUUAAGAGGGAAAAAGCACUCAUUUAUGCACAAAUACUUUUCAAAAGAACUAUUUUGUAGUUACGUGAAGGAGGAGUGGAGAUAUUUGCAAUUUUGAACUGUAGUUUUGGGGCCCCUCUGGCAAGACAGUGAUGGAGUGAGUGAUGGUGAAAGUGUUUCUUCUCUUUUGGGUCACCCUACCUCAGUGGGAGAUGGCCAGUGUGUUAAAAAAAAAAGUCUUCACAGCACUUUGAUUUCACAUAUUGUUUAUAGCAGCAGUGGUACUAAUGCUUAUGCUUAUGCAAUACGAAAGUUACAUUUUCAAAAAUAUUAAAUAAUGUUAUAUGUAUUUAAAUGUUAUGUAGCAAGUUUUUUUUUUUUUCUCUCUAUAAAUCUUGCCAAAUACAUUACUGUUCUUGAAAUGUACCACCAAUUAUUGAAACAGAUUAUUUAUUGUGUUAUAAUUAUUAGUAUAUACUAGUUGAAUUAUGCAGUGAAAUAGGCAUAAGUGUUUUAUGCCUUUAAUGUAAAUAUCCUGUUGUACUGUAGUAAUAAUUUAAAUUAUAAUUCACUUCACAAAAAUAUUUCAGAUGUAAUAAUUGUGAUUAAGAUUUUUACAAAUAUUGUUGUAGUCUUUUCUUACAAUAAUAUCAGCGUGGUCCAGAAUGUUCUAAUACUCGGUAAAACAUUUAAUAAAUGUAGUGGUUAAAUACAACAUUGAUCAUUGUAAUGGCUAGUAGUUACCAUGAGAUGUCCAUUUAAUUCUUGACACACUCAUGAUCAGUGGUAAUAGUAAAGUAAUAAUAGUAAAGUAACAAUAGUAAAGUAACAAUAGUACUUGUGUCACAGUGCUUCUGUAAUGGCAUUUAUUAGAUCCCCUGAAGAUUCUUCCUCGAAGGAGAGAAGAGUAAUGUGCCCGUGCAAAUUUUUGGUACUUCAUAUACUGUACUAGUAGUAGUACUGGCACUACUACAACCACCACCACCACUUCCUUCUUCCACUGCAUUGUCUUUAAGUCUUCUCUACUUUCCUUGCCUCAGCUGUGACUUGACAAUGGUCCAGGAUAGACCAAAACAUUGUCAUAAGGUUCCUCUCCUAAAUGUUCUUUUUUUAUGAAUUUUGAUAUAUUGUGUAUUAUAUAACUUUACACUAAAAUUAACAGCAAUUUAACUCUACUCAACAUACAACAAAAUGACUUAAUUUAUCAUUCUAUUUAAGAAUUUGCAUAAUACAGUUCUGUUUUUAGAAGAUGGGCAAGAAACUUCAGGGAACCAUACUCUGAUUUUUUUCUAUUUUUUUUUUUUUUUUAGAUGGGUAAAGUUGAUAUUAGAGCUGUUGUACAGUUUGUAAACUUCUUAGCUUUUUUACCUUUCAGAAUAGCAUUGGGCUGGGCCAUGGGGGUAGAAGAACCCUCAAGAUUGCUCACAUAUAUGCUGCAUUAGAAUUUAUUGGCAAUGUUUAUCUACACGCUGUGUUUAACAUACUUGGUGUUUUCUACACAAUGUGCUUAUUGUACUUUGCAUUAAUAAAACAGGAAAGCUACAAUAUUUGUAGCAUUUUUUUUAUUGAAAAGAUGGUAAAGAUUUAUUGUGUAUCACAUAAAAUGUUUACUUCACUAAAUAUUUAAAUUAACUCACUCACACAUGCUACCUAUGACAGAGAAAUAACCUGAGGGUAAACAAGACAUCAAAGCUAAUGUCGGAGGACCAUAAAAUGGUCAUCAUCAGCAUUAUAUAUGUACAGUAUUGGUGAAUAUGUUGUACUGACCUUCAAUAGACAACCAAUGUAAGUUCAAUACAGGAGUGUGCAAAACAGUUUGGGAACCACACCAGCUCCAGUAAACAAGAAAGCUCCAAAAAGGUUAUGGAAUUAGCUGUUGUUGUUGUUCUGUUUCAUAAAGUGCUUGAGUAGUAUGGGUUAUUAACCCUUAAACUGUCCAAACGCAUAUACAGUAGAUCGUCAUUUAGCACGGUAGUUACGUUCCUCAAAGUGCUGUGUUAUGUAAAAUCGUGUUAGAUGAACUGAAGAACUUCUAGGAAAAAUCGGGUUAUGUUCCUGGGAGCCCCCAAAAAGCCAAACAACUUUUUUUUAGACAUCCACAUCUUACAAAAAUAAAAGUGAAUAUGAAGUUGUAGUUUAUUGUUGUGAUGUAUUAUGUUGUUUUUACUGCUUAAGACUACAAAUGUAACAAAUAAUAGUAUUUCUUACCUUAAAUUGUAGGUGCUGGUGUUUGUGCAGAGAGUGGAGAGUUAUGCUGUGGCUCUACUGGGCUGAGGUGGAUGGUAGAGGUUCUGGUACUGAAGUCAAUGGUUGUACUGGAGUGUCUAACUUUAAAUCAUUCAGUCAGUCAAAUCAUUCAAUAAGUCAGUCAAGUCACUCAGUAAGUCCAUCAAGUCACUCAGCAAAUCAGUCAAGUCACUCAGUCAGUCAGUCAAAUCACACACAACACUGGUAUGGCUACUGGGUGUUAUGAUUGCUUGGAAGAUACAAGAUAUAGCAAUUAAAAUACCAUAACAAUUAAAAAACACAGCUGCCUUGUAGCAGAGAAAGACUGGACUGGGAUGGUGGGGUGGUGUCGGGGAGUGGUAAAGGAUGGCGGGAGGGCUCCCCAGCUGCUCCACAACAAGGCGGCCGCUUGAGAAAAAGCUAAUUUUUUUUUCCUUCCCACAGACUGAACCGUGUUAAAUUAAUUAUAUGAUGUGUUACAUAAAAUUGUGCUGCAAUUCUUCAAUUGUGCAAUACUCAUGUCGUGCCAAAUAAACUCAUGCUAAAUGACGGUCUACUGCAUACGUUUGUAUGCGUAGCGCACUGAAUGUA